rnacentral:rRNA from 1 species
GCUUAGCCUUAAACCCAAAUGUGUUAUUACACAAAUAUUCGCCAGGGUACUACGAGCACAGCUUAAAACCCAAAGGACUUGGCGGUGCCUCAGACCCACCUAGAGGAGCCUGUUCUAGAACCGAUAAUCCUCGUUAAACCUCACCACUUCUUGUUUAACCCGCCUAUAUACCGCCGUCGUCAGCUUACCCUGUGAAGGCCUCUAACAGUAAGCAAAAUUGGCCAGCCCAAAAACGUCAGGUCGAGGUGUAGCGUACGAAGUGGGAAGAAAUGGGCUACAUUUUCUAACAAUAGAUUAAUACGAAUGACACCCUGAAACAGGUGUUUAAAGGUGGAUUUAGCAGUAAAAAGUAAAUUAGAGAGUUAUUUUGAAAUAGGCUCUGAGACGCGC